CCCUGACAGUCGCAUGGUGCGACUGACACUAGCCACGACAGGAGUUUUUAAUAUG
rnacentral:ncRNA from 1 species